UAGGGUGUUGACGAUCGGUUGGUUCUAUAUCGGAGUGGGAGAAGGGACCUUCUGACGUACCUAGGGGAGGAGAGCCGUCACCAGGGGGAGGAGCUACGGCCGAACAAGGUACCCGAAAAGUACCCUCGCGGGCUCGUUUCGCUCGCCACGCUUCGGGCUUCGCUCGCCACCUAAUUACUAAAGGUAAUAGUUGGUGACGUGGAUACUAGAGCAACUGUACCGCUGGCGUAGCUCCUCCCCCUUGUGUCGUGGCUCCUCCCCCUGACGGAAAAGGUCCCUUAGGCCACUUGGAUCUAGCCUCAACCGUUGACGAUCGGGCGGGCAUCCCUCCUGUGCUGCUGCUGCACUGCAGCUGCUGUUAUUGUUCCCGUGAGUGUCAUCUGUAUGACUGUCCUGGGGCUCCCCAGCCUGGGCUGUUGUAUGUGUGGGUCAGUUCAGCAAUAGGUGAUUCAUAUGUGAGCACCCACCUAUAUAAGACAGACUGGAUCAGCUGCUGUGGUAGGUGGUGAGGCCUUUCUGACGACUGUUACAGGCCUUUUACCUCCCUUGUUGGCAGACCUCCAAGCAAUCUUUAUUAUGAAUGCUGCUCCUUAAACUGCAAUGGCAGGGCAUUGGUUCCAGAACUGUACACUGGGUCACCACAGUAAAUUCACAUGGCACUGACUGACAGCUGGUAAACCACUGGAACUCUAUGAACAAGAAUUCCAAUAAUUGUGGGAUAUCUUGCAAACAUGAAUAUAAAUAUGUAUCUAAAUUGGAGAAAAACAAUCAUGCAUCCUGGAUGCAAUGAACAAUACAAUAACAUGACAAAAGUUAAACCUCUACUUCCGCUCACAGCGUUAAGACUGCGCCUCAUAUCAGUCAUACUGUCCCAACAUCAGCUGUAAGAUGGUGGGGCUGGUGGAAACAUGGUCAAAUACUGAGGUGUGUAGUGUGAUCAGAUUCCUGCAUCUAAAGGGCACAUCAGCAGCUGAAAUUCAUUGGCAACUUGUCGAGAUGUAUGGCUGCGAACAAGGAUUGCAUUUCUAUACUAUAACGCCAGGCCACACUCAGCCAACUGAGUUGUUUCGAUGCUUCCAUUGGGAGGUACUGGAGCAUCCUACUUACAGCCCCGACCUGGCACGGAGUGAUUUCCAUCUCAAUGGACCAUUGAAGAAGCACCUUGGUGGAAGGCGAUUCACAACCGACAAUGAAGUUCAGCGAGCUGUUAUGUCUUGGCUUAAGGUGCUUGACACUUAUUUCUUCUUUGCUGGGACAGAUGCCUUGGUGUACCAUUGGAACAAAUGCUUAGAGAAGCAUGUAGAUAAAUCUGUACCAAGACCGUACUAUUGAUUACAUGUAUAUGUCCGAGUUGAAUAAAUUUAC